CAUCAACGUCAAAAGAGGAUAAAUCUUGCUGUGUGUAUGACGUGGAAAUAAAAUCUACACUUAUCAAUUGAUAAUUGCCAGGAAAUACACCUAGGCACACAAAGCACUAUACAAACAUUACACACCUUUACGAAAUGAAUCGAAUGAUUCUGGAGGACACAAAUUUCCUUUUAAAUUCCUAAAUUGAACUUACAUUGUUGAAUAAAUUAUAGUUAAACG